AUUAAACGCUGGCGGCAUGCCUUACACAUGCAAGUCGAACGGCAGCACGGGGGCAACCCUGGUGGCGAGUGGCGGACGGGUGAGUAAAGCAUCGGAACGUAUCCUGGAGUGGGGGAUAACGUAGCGAAAGUUACGCUAAUACCGCAUAUUCUGUGAGCAGGAAAGCAGGGGAUCGCAAGACCUUGCGCUCUGGGAGCGGCCGAUGUCGGAUUAGCUAGUUGGUGGGGUAAAGGCCUACCAAGGCGACGAUCCGUAGCGGGUCUGAGAGGAUGAUCCGCCACACUGGGACUGAGACACGGCCCAGACUCCUACGGGAGGCAGCAGUGGGGAAUUUUGGACAAUGGGCGCAAGCCUGAUCCAGCCAUGCCGCGUGAGUGAAGAAGGCCUUCGGGUUGGUUAAAGG
rnacentral:rRNA from 1 species